rnacentral:lncRNA from 1 species
ACACAAUUUUAAAAUCUUUCCAUCUUAGAAAAUUCUUUCCAAGUAUUUCUUUUGUGUUUUUUUAGCCUAUAAAAGAUAAUGGAAUAUGUUUUAUAGACUGGAUUUUAUCUCAUCCCCCUUCCAUCUCCGGACUGCACUCAGUUUAAUAGUUGUCAGUUUUUCUUCAGUGUUGAAUUUAAUUAUAUAGGAACAAAAUAUUCCUCAGUAAAUUAGCUUGCUAAAUAUUCUGCCACUUUGUAAUUUCCCCUUUGAGAAAUAGCUUAAUUACAGAAAUCUACCU